AAGUCGUAACAAGGUUUCCGUAGGUGAACCUGCGGAAGGAUCAUUAUUGAAUAAACCUGAUGGGUUGCUGCUGGCCCUUCACCGGGCAUGUGCACGCCUGUCUUCUUUAUUUUUCCACCUGUGCACCACUUGUAGGCUUGAAUAGCAUUUUAAUUGGCCUUUGGGACAGCUUUGAGGAAUGCGGCCUUGGUCGCUAUUCUCUCCGAUAUUCAAGUCUAUGUUUUACUAUACACCCAUUGUUAAACCCACAAUGUCAUUUACAGGCCACAAGUGUGCCUAAAACACUAUACAACUUUCAGCAACGGAUCUCUUGGCUCUC
rnacentral:misc_RNA from 1 species